rnacentral:rRNA from 1 species
GAGUUUGAUCAUGGCUCAGGAUGAACGCUAGCGGCAGGCUUAACACAUGCAAGUCGAGGGGCAGCAUGACACUUCGGUGUUGAUGGCGACCGGCGCACGGGUGCGUAACGCGUAUAGAACCUACCCACAACAGGGGGAUAGCCUAAAGAAAUUUGGAUUAAUGCCCCAUGGUGUAUUAGUGAGGCAUCUCAUUUUUAUUAAAGAUUUAUCGGUUAUGGAUGGCUAUGCGUUCUAUUAGUUUGUUGGUGGGGUAACGGCUCACCAAGGCUUCGAUAGAUAGGGGUUCUGAGAGGAAUGUCCCCCACACUGGUACUGAGACACGGAUCAGACUCCUAUGGGAGGCAGCAGUGAGGAAUAUUGGACAAUGGGCGCAAGCCUGAUCCAGCCAUGCCGCGUGCAGGAAGAAGGCCUUAUGGGUUGUAAACUGCUUUUAUUCACGAGGAAUAAAUCUCUUGCGAGGGAUUUUGACGUUAGUGUUUGAAUAAGCACCGGCUAACUCCGUGCCAGCAGCCGCGGUAAUACGGAGGGUGCAAGCGUUAUUCGGAAUCAUUGGGUUUAAAGGGUUCGUAGGCGGAUUGGUAAGUCAGGGGUGAAAAGCUGCAGCUUAACUGUAGUCGUGCCUUUGAUACUGUCAGUCUUGAGUUAUAUUGAAGUAAGUAGAAUAUGUAGUGUAGCGGUGAAAUGCUUAGAUAUUACAUGGAAUACCGAUUGCGAAGGCAGCUUACUAAGUAUAUACUGACGCUGAUGAACGAAAGCGUGGGGAGCGAAGGGGAUUAGAUACCCCCGUAGUCCACGCUGUAAACGAUGGACACUAGUUGUUGGUAAUUUAUCAGUGACUAAGCGAAAGUAAUAAGUGUCCCACCUGGGGAGUACGGUCGCAAGGCUGAAACU